GUGGGGAAUAUUGGACAAUGGGCGCAAGCCUGAUCCAGCCAUACCGCGUGGGUGAAGAAGGCCUUCGGGUUGUAAAGCCCUUUUGUUGGGAAAGAAAUCCUAUCGAUUAAUACUCGGUGGGGAUGACGGUACCCAAAGAAUAAGCACCGGCUAACUUCGUGCCAGCAGCCGCGGUAAUACGAAGGGUGCAAGCGUUACUCGGAAUUACUGGGCGUAAAGCGUGCGUAGGUGGUUGUUUAAGUCUGCUGUGAAAGCCCUGGGCUCAACCUGGGAAUUGCAGUGGAUACUGGGCAACUAGAGGGUGGUAGAGGGAUGCGGAAUUUCUGGUGUAGCAGUGAAAUGCGUAGAGAUCAGAGGGAACAUCCGUGGCGAAGGCGGCAUCCUGGGCCAACACUGACACUGAGGCACGAAAGCGUGGGGAGCAAACAGGAUUAGAAACCCUGGUAGUCC
rnacentral:rRNA from 1 species